UACGGAGGGUGCAAGCGUUAUCCGGAUUCACUGGGUUUAAAGGGUGCGUAGGUGGGCAAGUAAGUCAGUGGUGAAAUCUCCGGGCUUAACCCGGAAACUGCCAUUGAUACUAUUUGUCUUGAAUACUGUGGAGGUCAGCGGAAUAUGUCAUGUAGCGGUGAAAUGCUUAGAUAUGACAUAGAACACCAAUUGCGAAGGCAGCUUACUACAUAGUUAUUGACACUGAGGCACGAAAGCGUGGGGAUCAAACAGG
rnacentral:rRNA from 1 species